rnacentral:misc_RNA from 1 species
AAAUUUAAUAUGGCAUCGGCCAACAUGUAGUGAUGUGGUUGUUGUGAUGUUCGAUCAUGAUCUGUCAAAAUUUCGCGGCCAGGAGUGAUAAGAUGUCAUUUAUCGAAUACGUUAUUUAAAAAAAUUUUCCGAAGAACUCGCGGGGUUUCUGAGUCGAUAUGGCUCAUUUAAACAACGUGUUGAAGGCUGUGGAAACGUUAAAUGCGCUACGAGAAUCGGACAUCCCGUCAGAUUCCGGAGCAAGGAAGGAGAAGAUAUCAUGUUGUACAGUCAUCGUUGAAGGAAUAUGUUCACUAACUGUCAGACAAAAUCCUAAAUUUCCACAAGUUCUCACUCCUGCUAUUGAAACAUUGCUAGCUUUGUGUAACGAUGACGAGUCGGACGUCAGAAUGGUCGCAGAUGAAUCUCUCAAUAAAAUUAUAAGGGUAAUGGUGGACAGUAACAUCGUUAAGAUUCAGAUAGAACUUUACAAUGAGAUAAAGAGAAAUGGGCCUGCGCGUGUACUGAGGGCUGCUCUUUGGAGAUUCGGUUUGCUAAGUCACAUGAUACGUCCCUCAAGAGGCAAAGCUUAUGUGUCAAAUCUGAUACCAUGUAUAGUGAUUAUUGCGCAUCGAUCUGAAGAUAUUGUGAUAGAAACGUUAUCGCAGUCAUUACCAUUAAUUUUUAAAGUGUUAGGACCAUUUAUGACAGAUAAGGAUGUCAAGAAUUUGCUAAGAGCGUUCUUCGAGAAUAUUUCCUCGCCUCAAGCGGCUUUUCGUAGAGCAGCGGCAAAUAUGAUUCUAGCAACAUGCAUAAACUGCAGAAAACCUCAAUUCUUUUUAAAUUAUGUACUGAAUCAUCUGUUAGAUAUAAUAAUGCCAGUGAGAAAUGCCGAGGAUCACUCGUCUACUAUCAUAGGCGUGUUUGGAUGCUUGAGAAUGAUUUUACCUCAUAUAUGUAAACCCUCAGAGCCAGAAAGUGUCGAGGCACAACAGAUAGAUAGUUUGUUACAUAUUUAUGAACUGUGUUUGCACUAUACAAAAUGGCACUCGGAUCACAAUGUUAUAAAUGCAGCUUUAGAGACUCUGGCACAGCUUUUAAAAACGCCUCCAAAGCCAUUGGUGUCAAUUUUAUUGUCUACAGAAGGCAUAACGCAAAGCAGGAUAAUAGUGAAUCAAAAUGCGUGCAUUCCAUCAUUGGGUCAAAUGAGUAUUUCCAGUGCGAGUACCGCUUACGGUGGAAAUUCGGAUUCUAUUUUAAACCUGCAAGAGCCUGAUGUUCCAGAAAUCACUCCGAACAUAGAUAAAUGGAUUGCAGAUACGGAAACGGCGUUGCCGGCUGCGUGCAAUCCACAAACGCAGAAUGAACCUGCAAACAAUGUAAUUGAAACGAAAGAGAAAAUAUCGGAAAAUUAUUGCGGUCUGAAGAUCGGAGCCAUUGAUAACGAGACUGUGGAGGAGGGUAGCGAUGUCGGGAGCGAGAUCGAGAAGUCCGAGAGAGCGCCGUAUUCAAGCCUGCUGAGUGAAUUGUCGAAGGAGGACGAUUGCUCCGAAGAUGCCACUUUGUCGUUCGCCUCCCCCAAGAAGUUUCCUUUGGAUUUCGCAUUGUACGAGACGGACGUUGGAAAUUUCACCGACUCGGAUAUGCCCGUGAAGUUUUGCUGUCGUUACUUGGUGUCGUCUUUCUUGUUGACAGGCAAACCCGGGCACUUGGUUUCGGACAAGUUGUUUCGCGUUAGUGUAAAGUCACUCGCUCUGACGUGCGUGGGUUACAUCUUGAAGCUUUACCCGCACUUAUUCACGAUGACCGUGACGAAAGAGUCGGGCUGCAGCGAGACGAACCAACUGAUCGCAGACAUUCUGCUAUUUGCCAAUCACUCCGAUCCUCAGAUCAGAGGCAAUAUAGCGAUGGUGAUUGGAAUCUUUCUAAAGUCCGUGUUCGUUCAAUACGGCGGCUCCUUUCAAAACUUUGAGACGGAAUGCUCCGCCCAAAAGGGACAUGGAAAGAUACUGCUUACAGAUAUGAUCAAUUUACUUUUAAAAGGCUUAAAUGACAGUUCUGCGACAACCUGCCGCCAAACGUUGGACGCGUUGAAUCUCUGCUUACCAGAGCUACUAGACUCUAUCAAUCACGAGCAUGGUCUCACUGUCUUAACUGCGUUGCCAAAACUCACGAAGAAUCCAUAUUUUUUAGUGAAAGUAAAAUUAGUUGACCUGCUGAGUAAAUUAUCGUAUAUCACAAUAGAACAUAUAACGGGACAAUCGUUAUUUCAAGAGCAUUUUAUCGAUGUUAUAAUAGCGUUGUUAGGCGAUCAGGACCAAAGAGUGAGACACGCCGCGUCGGACGCCAUCGUUAAAAGUAUUCCAUAUUUAUACUUCCGACAUCCUCAAGAAGAUACCGUUACGAAGAAGGCCACGCAAUACACUCAGCAGUUUUUAAGCACCGUAACGACAAGCAUUUCAGAAUUGUCAUUGUGCCAAGAUAAGCAUAAACCGUUCAUGAACACGUCCAUCAAGCCCUUUGUAUUUCUAAACCACUACAGCGGAGCGAAUUACAAUUCCAGUGUGGAAUAUUCUUUAUCUCGUAUAGUUAACAUUCUGACGGAGAUGUUGGCGGUGCACUCUUCGAAAUAUCUAAUAUACGGAUGCUGCGAGACUCUCUUUUGCUUGAGCGAGACUUAUCCUACGACGAUUUACGUGAGAGGAUGGGACUGCAUUCUGCCGAAGACGCUGCUGAAGAAAUCGAAAAAGAGCAGCGAUCGAUUGGACACGGGCGAUAUUAGUUUCGUGAACGAGAUGACUUCCUCUCCGGUGGGCAGCGGUCUCUUGUCACUGGCGCUGCCCUUGCUGACGUCAUCGAGCAUUAGCUUAGAUUCGUCCACGCACAGACACCUGAUCCUCCUCGCCGGCAAUCUCGCUUCCGGAUUAGCCGUCUGCAACUUCAAGACCGGCGGCGAUCCGACAAAAUUGUGGAGCAUGUACAAGGAUCGGUACAUGGAACUGCUGCUGACGCACAUCACGAGAGUCCUCAACAUCUUCGUCCACGUCAUCGACGAGGUGCAACUGGCGCAAGCCAGCGCCAAGCCCGUAUUGCCAUCCCUGUCGUCCGCGCAAACGCUGUCACCCAGAAAGAAGAUUUUGUCGGAGCACAAGUCAAAGGAGAAGGGAGAGAAGAUCGGCGGUCUGAGGAGCGGGAAGGAGUUCACGGGAACGUUCGUCGGCAUGCCGCAUUACAUGAAGAUCUACGACAUUCUGAAAGCGGCGCAUUCCAAUUAUUUGGUAACUCUGCAGCAUGAGGCCAGCGAAAUGUACGUUUCUCUGCUGAACGCGACGCUCGACGUGCUCUCGCAGAUUCUCGAAAUCGCGUCCGUCAACGAGGCAGGUAAAAUAACGGAGGAAGUGUUGUGCUACUUGAAAACCACCGUCAUAUUGUCGCCGACGGCAACGGUUCAGUGCGUGCAGCAGUUGCUCAAGUGUCUGUUCAGCACGAAUGUGUGCGCGCAGUGGAGCGAGCUGGACGUGCAGAGGAUGGAUCAGUACGGAACGCUGCAGGAUGACGUCAGAGGGUUUUACAACCAGUGCUUCCAGCAUCCCGCCAGGCAAAUGGCGAACACGAUCAAGUGCAUAGGGAACAAUUGCAGGGGUGAGAACGAGCCGGACACGGGGUGGAUAGGACUGCUGCGGAGAAAAGGCGAUCGCAAAUUUUCGUCGGUAUUCAAGAACUUGGCGCGAUCCUCGGACCAGAAGACAUCCGUGGCGUCCUUCAUCCGGCUCUUCGAGCCGAUGGUUAUAAAAUCCUUGAAACAGUACACCGUCACGAGCAACAUCUCGUUACAGUGUCAAGUUCUGAUGCUGCUCAGUCAACUGGUUCAACUCAAGGUCAAUUACUGCCUGCUCGAUUCGGACAAGAUAUUCAUCGGAUUCGUGUUGAAGCAGUUCGAGUUCAUCGAGGAGGGCCACAUACAGCAGACCGAGGAACUUCUGCCGAAGAUGUUCAAUUUCCUGGUGCAUCUGUCUUACGAGAAGAAUCAUUCCAAGGCGAUAAUAGGCGUGCCGAAGAUAAUUCAGUUGUGCGACGGUCUGAUGGCGAGCGGACAGCCGGCGAUCUCGCAUUGCAUACCCGCGCUCGCGCCCGUCAUCGAGGACAUAUUUCUCGUGCGUAACGGCAGCUCGAGCGUGAUCGAGCAGCGGGAAUUGGAGACAACGAGAGACGUGCUGAUAGCGAUGUUGCUGCGUCUGGUGGAGUAUUACGAGGUGGUCGAGCUUCUAGCGCUGUGCCUGGCUGAAUCGAGAUUCAGCGGGGACGGCAACGGCGAGGAGAAGUGGCGGAGGUGGUCCAGAUUGACGAUGGACACUGUGCUUCCGAUACUGGCCGCUGGCAAGCUCAAGAUCGAAUCCGAAAAGGCGCACGUCGCGCUGGUGAAACUGUUCGCGGCUAUCUCGCCCACUGUUUUCCGACCGGUGGAUCCACUUCUGAAGAUACUGUUCACCGCGUCGAUAUCCACGACGGCUUCGACUCUGAGCCUGAAACGAUGGCUGGGCAUGAUCAACGUCGUGCUACUGUCGUUGAUCUCCUGCGCGAAGGAGGAGGCGAUGCUGGCGCGUCUCUCGGACCUCAGCGUAUGCAUGACGGACGUGUCGCAUCUAUUCUCGCCGCCCCAGGAUUCCUCCUCUUCCCAAGAGAGCACGGACCCUCUGAAUGUCCUGAGUAUUCAGUCGCGUCAGGUGCUACCCGAGCAGAUACUGGCGAAGUUUAUAUUCAAAGUGAUCAAUUUGAUAAGCGCGAAGGUGUUCAAUCUGCUCGGUCUGAUCAAUCAUAAGGCCGCGGAUCCUUUCGUCGGCUUCUCCGAAUACACGGCCGACGACAAUUACUUGGUGCACCAGUUCGCGUUCUUCUUGCAACUGUGCAUUCACAUGUUCGAGUCCGGCAGUCAUUGCAAAGUGGCGAACGCGACGAUGCAGAUGAUCCAAGGACGCAACGUGCCCGACGAGGAGAAGCUGCUCAUCGACGAUCUCAACUACUUGAUGCUGAGCAUCGGAAACGUGUGCCCGACGGUGACGUGCCAGUGGGCUUACCUGAUGAUCCUGUUGGGAUACAACGAGAUGUCCUUCUGGUCGAAAGUGCUGGGCACCGGCAAGUCCGAUUACAUCACUCACGCCCAGCCGAGUGAGAGAAAGACGCGCGAUUACGCGAACAGUGAUAUAAAUAUUCAGAUUAUCAGACGAGGUGGGAUCAUAUUGUUCUGCGACUACAUAUGCGAGAAUCUCAACGACGUGGAACCGCUGACGUGGCUGCUGGUGAACCACAUAGAGGAGGCUGUAAACAUUGCCACCGAAUCUCCGGUGAGAGAUCUGCUGACGACGGCCAUACACCGAAAUCCGGCGGCCAGCGGGCUGCUGGUGCAGGCGAUAGCGACCAAGUGCACGGACUUGUCGCAGCCGAGUUUCAUCAAGCGUUUGCUGCAGUGCGUCGAGGGCGCGCAUCACUCGCAGAGCGGCGCGGUUAUAAUGACCCUGAUACCAAGGCUGUUGUCGACCAAGUAUCUCGCUCUGUCGAGAAUAGCGGCGAAAAUUGCCAGCCGCAGAGUCGAGAUACUGUUGACCAGCAACGCGGAGGAUGUGGUCAGCCAGUUGUCGAAGGAGGACAUCGUGAGGAUCAUGGACAUCCUGCAGACCACCAAGCUGGCGAGGAAGCACGGCGGCCUGGUCAGCCUGUUGAACAAGCUGGCCGUGCAGUAUUACGAUCUGUCGCCGCUGGAGCUCGACCAGUGCAGACCGUUCAAUCCGUCCACCGUGAAGAGCAUCCAGCUGGACCGGAACUGGUUCCUGUCUCAGGUGCGAUUGCGAUGUUGCCACGCCAGCGCCGGCAACAAUCCCAUGGAAUUGGCGCAGCUGCUGCAGGAUCUGGACUUCGACGAUUGCUUGAACAUCCUGUCGUGCAAGGAAUUCAACUUGAAAAUUUUGAAGCACUGCAUAAUAUUGGGCGCCAGACUCAGCGUCGAGAGGUGCCAGAAGCUGGAAUUCGGGCAAGCGCAGAGCGAGAAGGACUUUCACUUCGACGCGAGCCCGCUGUACGUCGCCGCCAAGCAGUGCUUGCUCGAGCACAUCCAUUAUAUCUGCGAGCUCGUGCCGAAGCCGCAUCAGAUUUACAAUCCGGAGGCGGACAGCAGCAGCGGCAAGGAGUUGAAGUACGCCGCUAGAUUUUCCGAGCUGCUGAGCGACUCUCUCUACUGGGAGAUCCUCUUCACGAUCAUUCCGACCGUGAAAAUCUACAUGAGGACGCUGCCGAAACUGGCCAAGUACAACGUGGCGAAGAUCGACGUCAAGUUCGAGGAAGACAUCGCCAAAUUCUCCAUGCUGUGCCUCGAGCUGGCGCAUUGGAUCAUCUAUUCCGACCGGAAGAGCGUUCGCAAAUUGCGGCCGCACGACAUGUACCUCGCGCUGAGCUGCGCCGCUGAGAUUCUGCGGCACGCCGCACCGAGUAAGAUCGUCGGGGACAGCACGCGUUACACCUGGGUCUGCUCCGCGGCGAUCUCGCUGACGAAAGUCGUGGAGAGCGUGCUCACGACGAUGGACCCCCUGCCGACCGUGGAUUCUCAGGCGCUGGAGCCGGCGCUCCGAGACGAGGACACGAAGGAUUACGCCCGGGCGUGCGUCCAAAUGGCGUCGAUAGUGGCCUGGCUCGAGAAGUGUCAGACGGAAGGCUCCACGAGGAAUAUUCCGCCGUACCUGUUCGACACGAUAAAAUCGCUCGUCGUCAGCGUGAGCCGGCAGCCGCUGGUGAAUUCUUACAUCCUGACGCCGCCUCUGGUGUGGAGACGCGGCUGCAACGUCGUCGGCACGAGCCCGACGAAGUGCUACUUUCCGUUGCCGUCGUCGGAAUCCAAUCUUCUGCAGGAGGUGGACAUCCUCGAGCAGUUCAUUUACCGGGUGAAUCUGCUGGGCUGGACGUCGAGGUCGCAGUUCGAGGAGAUCUGGAUGGCGUUUCUCAGCGUGCUGAACUUUCUGCAGAACGAGAACACGCCGUCGGACGAGGUGGCCGCUCUGAUUCAAGCGAGCGGCCUCGCGGUCCAGGCGAUCACGAGGUUACUGCUGCAAACUCUGCUGCUGCCGUGUCCCGGCAAUCCCGGCGCCAGCACGCAGAUUCACCAUCCCAGAGAUCCUCAGCUCUCCGUUCACAAGAUCAGUUCCCAGAAACUGUACGCGAUACAGGAGCUGCUUCUGUGGAAGUACGAGUACAUGAAUGACGCGGAGGGUAAAAGCGGCCUGAAGCUGGAUCAUAUAUUUCAAAGAGGAAACGUGGAGAGGACCGCGACUUUCGACAGAUUCACGUACAGCCAACUGUCAGUCUCUUACUUGUGGUCGCUGUGCAAUUUGUACGAGGACAAGCUGAACGCCUCCGUUCUCGAUCUGAAGAACAGGAGAAACGACGCGCUGAUGUCCGCGUCCCUCGAUCUGGAUUCCUGCCUGCGUUUCCUCAUCGAGCAUUACACCAUCUGGAUGUCGCCGCAGGCCAACACGCCUGUGCAACUGCUGACGGAGAUCAUCAAGUCCAUUCUCGCGAUCUCGGAACUCUUUCUCGAAAGAUCGCAGUAUCAGUGGAUGCUGGACGUGUGCCUGGAAAUCUCGAGGGUUCAUCCGACGGAGAACGCAAUCCUACAUCAAUACUUGGCCAUUUCCGUCUGCAAAGCCGCUGCCGUUUUGACGCCAUUGGAUUUGGAUACAUUGGAUAAAGUGAAGCGCAUAGUGGACAUGAAUUUGAAAUCGGGAUUCCUGGCUUCCAGAAUUUCCGCGCUUCACGGUUCUCUGUACUUACUGCAGAGUGCGGUGUUAGCUAAAUGCGAGGAAACGAUGAACAUUAUACAUCCCUUAGCCAUCGAGUACAUUCAGAAGCACAUUGACUCGCAAGAUUCGAAUGGCGUUUUGAAUCAAAGCGAGGAGCAUCAGGGAAUAAUGUGGGCGCUGGUAUUCUUCCUGUUGGAGCACGCGGAAGACACACCGCCGGAUACGGAAGCGCCGGCCGUGUUGGAGUUAGUCCUUUCUCUAGUCACAUCUCAGAACAUCUCUUACGGCUUACAUCAGAGUCUGCUGCAGGGUCUGGAGAGGCUUGUGGCAACGAAAAGCGUAGUCGGCAAGGUCGCUGAGCAAAUCGUGAAGGUCGCGAUGGAUCGACUAAAACAGCCGAGCCCGUUGCUGGCGCUGCCGGCUCUGCAGCUUCUGCUGACGUGCAUGUACACGGAGGCGGCCGACCGACUGAAUCAGCCCGGCGCUGAGAAGCCGCUGCCGGACGUGGAGCCCGAGACGCUGGUCCGCUCCAUAGAACGCACCUCCGCGAUAUUCGACAAGAUCCGCAAGGGUCAUCCCAUGGAGGUGGAGGUCCUAUGCACGGUACUGUCUGGCGUCCUCGGUGACUUUUUCCCGCCGUCGGAGAUCCUGACCAAAGUCAUAGGGGAGUUUCUGUCCCCGCAACGACCGCACCCGAGGUUACUCUCCGCUGUUGUUUUCAAAGUCUGUGAGAAAGCGUGUACCUGCACGGAAAUGGAGCUCCUGCAAGACUGGGUGGUAUUCAGCUUACCGAAUUUCAUUCAGAGCCUGCCGGUGGCGAUGUCGACCUGGUGCUUGUCCUGCUUCUUUAUAAGCGCAUCGACGAAUCAUUGGUUGAGAGCUCUAUUUCCGUAUGUUCAGUCGAGGAUAGGAAAGUACGAGUACGAAGACAAGAAAAUGUUGUGUAUAGCCGCUUCAGAUUUUUAUCAUAAGUUAUCCAAAGAGUCUCAGAAGAAAGCGUUUGUCGAGACUUUCGAGGCUGCCGCGAAGGAACCUCGAACUCCAUCAGCGACAUUUUAGCAUCCUUUUAAUUAAUAAUAAUCAUAGUCGGCAGAAUCUACAACGCGAGAGACAUUCAACAGAAGAUUUUAAACCCAAGUUGUAAAAAUCUAUGUACAAUCAUUGAUAGGUUGACGCGCUGUGCUACAAACUUUACGCUUCGCACGAUAGCACAUACGCAGAGUGGCGUAGUAGAAGUGAACGAGAGCACGCUGGCGCCGAGGAACAAGUCUGC